rnacentral:rRNA from 1 species
AUGUACAUGCCUACAUCAUAGCGUUAAUACAUUGGAUAUCAUUAGAAAUAUGAAGUUAAGCAUGCUUGGGAUAGAGUAGUAUUUGGAUGGGUGACCGCUUGGGAAGUCCUAGUGUUUUACAUC